CAUAAUCAUUAGUUUUUUAAUUGGAAACUUGUAUGAAUGGUUAAACAAAAGAAAUACUGUCUCUUUUUUACUAUUUGAACUUAACUUUUAAGUGAAAAGGCUUAAAUUUUUCAAGGGGACGAUAAGACCCUAUAAAGCUUUAUAAAUAAAAAAAGAUUUUAUGAAUGUAAAAAAUAAAAAAAAUAUUAAUUUAUUUAUUAUGUUGGGGCGACACGGAUAUAAAUAAAAGUAACUAUCAGAAAAAAAAACACAUUAUAAGUGAGCAAGAUGAUCCUUAGUAAAGAUUAAAAGACAAAGUUACUUUAGGGAUAACAGCGUUAUUCUUUUUGAGAGUCCAUAUCGAAAAAAGAGUUUGCGACCUCGAUGUUGAAUCAUAAAAUCUUUACGAUGCAGCAGUUGUAAUAG
rnacentral:rRNA from 1 species